AGUGGAUGCGAGCAUCUUGUUGUGGUCAAGUGUUUAAGGGCACAUGGUGGAUGUCUAGGCAUCAGGAGCCGAUGAAGGACGUGGGAGGCCACGAUAGGCCUCGGGGAGCUGUCAACCGAGCUGUGAUCCGAGGGUGUCCGAAUGGGGAAACCCGGCGCCCGUCAUGGGGCGUCACCGGCAGUUGAAUUCAUAGGCUGUCGGGGGGAACGUGGGGAAGUGAAACAUCUCAGUACCCACAGGAAGAGAAAACAACCGUGAUUCCGUGAGUAGUGGCGAGCGAAAGCGGAUGAGGCUAAACCGGUGUCGUGUCAAGCUGGCAGGCGUUGCGGUACCGGUGUUGUGGGAUGCGCCCGUGGAGAUUCUGCUAGGUCUUCGAGGGGUGCGCGCGAGGUUAGCGGAAGGUGUCUGGGAAGCGCCGGCGUAGAGGGUGAGACCCCCGUACGCGAAAAUCUUGCGUGUGUCUCUGGGGUGUGUUCCCGAGUAGCAGCGAGCUCGUGGAAUUUGCUGUGAAUCUGGCGGGACCACCCGCUAAGCCUAAAUACUCCCUGAUGACCGAUAGCGGACGAGUACCGUGAGGGAAAGAUGAAAAGUACCCCGGGAGGGGAGUGAAAUAGUACCUGAAACCGUGUGCCUACAAGCCGUCAGAGCCUUUCGGGGUGAUGGCGUGCCUUUUGAAGAAUGAGCCUGCGAGUUAUGCUUCGUGGCGAGGUUAACCCGUGUGGGGUAGCCGUAGCGAAAGCGAGUCCGAAUAGGGCGUGUGAGUCGCGGGGUAUAGACCCGAAGCGGAGUGAUCUACCCAUGGCCAGGGUGAAGCGACGGUAAGACGUCGUGGAGGCCCGAACCCACCAGGGUUGAAAACCUGGGGGAUGAGCUGUGGGUAGGGGUGAAAGGCCAAUCAAACUCCGUGAUAGCUGGUUCUCCCCGAAAUGCAUUUAGGUGCAGCGUUGCGUGGUGGAUGCCGGAGGUAGAGCACUGGAUGGGCUAGGGGGCCGACAAGCUUACUGAACUCAACCAAACUCCGAAUGCCGGUAUUUCUAGCGUGGCAGUGAGACUGUGGGGGAUAAGCUUCAUAGUCGAGAGGGAAACAGCCCAGAUCACCGGCUAAGGCCCCUAAGCGUGCGCUAAGUGGGAAAGGAUGUGGGAUCGCCCAGACAACCAGGAGGUUGGCUUAGAAGCAGCCACCCUUGAAAGAGUGCGUAAUAGCUCACUGGUCAAGUGGUCCUGCGCCGACAAUGUAGCGGGGCUCAAGCGCACCGCCGAAGCCGUGGCAUUCCGACAUUGAUCCGCCCCUGGU
rnacentral:rRNA from 1 species